rnacentral:ncRNA from 1 species
AAGAUAGAGGUGCGGUUGCUAAGAGUAGCUUCCUAAAAGCGUCAGGAAACGUCGAAGUGAAAGGAGUCGCCGCCGAAGGGUUUCGGAGUUCCUGCUUCCGUAAUUACCUGGGACGUCGGAAAAUAUCCGGCGAACUGUCAUUUCGAUGAAGCGCUAUCU